GCCGCGGUAAUACGGAGGGUGCAAGCGUUAUCCGGAUUCACUGGGUUUAAAGGGUGCGUAGGUGGACAAGUAAGUCAGUGGUGAAAUCCCCGAGCUUAACUCGGGAACUGCCGUUGAUACUAUUUGUCUUGAAUAUCGUUGAGGUAGGCGGAAUAUGUCAUGUAGCGGUGAAAUGCUUAGAGAUGACAUAGAACACCGAUUGCGAAGGCAGCUUACUAAACGAUUAUUGACGCUGAGGCACGAAAGCGUGGGGAUCAAACAG
rnacentral:rRNA from 1 species